rnacentral:rRNA from 1 species
CUACGGGAGGCUCCAGUGAGGAAUAUUGCACAAUGGGGGGAACCCUGAUGCAGCAACGCCGCGUGGAGGAUGACGCAUUUCGGUGUGUAAACUCCUUUUAUAUGUCAAGAAAAUGACGGUAGCAUAUGAAUAAGCACCGGCUAACUCCGUGCCAGCAGCCGCGGUAAUACGGAGGGUGCAAGCGUUACUCGGAAUCACUGGGCGUAAAGGACGCGUAGGCGGGUUGGAAAGUCAGGUGUGAAAUCCUACAGCUUAACUGUAGAACUGCACUUGAAACUUCUAAUCUAGAGUAUGGGAGGGGGAGGGGGAAUUAGUGGUGUAGGGGUAAAAUCCGUAGAUAUCACUAGGAAUACCUAAAGCGAAGGCGAUCUCCUGGAACAUUACUGACGCUAAGGCGUGAAAGCGUGGGGAGCAAACAGGAUUAGAUACCCCCGUAGUC